GGCUCUGCCUGCCCCCGGCCUGGGGCACCACACCCUGGGUCCCCCGCUCCUGGGGCUCAUCACAGCUCUGCACGCCCCCCGACCCGGGGCUUCCAGGUCUUUCUCCACCUGCUGGGAGAAGCUGCCCCUCAGAUCAGCCAGGCUGGUGGAGGUGGAGCGUCCCCAGGGUGGCUCCCCUCAGGCGAGACUCCCCUCAGGUGUGACUCCCUCAGGUGUGACUCCCCUCAGGGGUGACCCCCCUCAGGUGUGACUCCCCUAAGGUGUGACUCCCUCAGGUGUGACCCCCCUCAGGUGUGAUCCCCCUCAGGUGUGACUCCUUCAGGUGUGCUCCCCUCAGGCAUUGCUCCCCUCGGGUGUGAACCCCCUCAGGUGUGAACCCCCCAGUUGUGACUCUCAUGUGUGACCCCUCCUUAGGUGUGAACCCUCCUUAGGUGUGACUCCCUCAGGUGUUACUCCCCUCAGGUGUGACUCCCUCAGAUGUGACCCUCCUCAGGUGUGACUCCCUCAGGUAUGACACCCCUCAGGAAUUGCUCCCCUCAGUCGUGACUCCCCUCAGGUGAGACUCCCCUCAGGUGUGAACCCCCUCAGGCAUUGCUCCCAUCAGUCCUGACUCCCCUUGGGUGAGACUCCUCUCAGGUGCGAACCCCCCAGGUGUGAUCCCCCUCAGGUGUAACUCCCCUCAGUUGUGACCCCCCUCAGGCAUUGCUCCCCUCAGUCGUGACUCCCCUCAGGCAAAACUCCCCUCAGGUGUGACUCCCUCAGGUGUGACUCCCCUCAGGUGUGACCCCCCUCAGGCAUUGCUCCCCUCAAUCGUGACUCCCCUCAGGUGAGACUCCUCUCAGGUGUGAACCCCAUCAGGUGUGACUCCCCUCAGAUGUGACCCCCUCAGGCAUUGCUCCUCUCAGUCGUGACUCCCCUCAGGUGAGACUCCUCUCAGGUGUGAACCCCCUCAGAUGUUGCUCCCCUCAGGUGUGACUCCCUCAGGUGUUGCUCCCCUCAGGUGUAUCUCCUUCAGGUGUAACCCCCUCAGGAGUGACUCCCCUCAGGUGUGACUCCCCUCAGGUGUGAUCCCCCUCAGGUGUGACUCCCCUCAGGUGUGACCCCCCUCAGGCAUUGCUCCCCUCAAUCAUGACUCCCCUCAGGUGAGACUCCUCUCAGGUGUGAACCCCAUCAAGUGUGACUCCCUCAGGUGUGACUCCCCUCAGGUGUGACCCCCCCCAGGCAUUGCUCCCCUCAGUCGUGACUCUCCUCAGGUGAGACUCCUCUCAGGUGUGAACCCCCUCAGGUGUUGCUCCCCUAGGUGUGACUCCUUCAGGUGUUGCUCCCCUCAGGUGUGACUCCUUCAGGUGUAACCCACUCAGGAGUGACUCCCCUCAGGUGUGACUCCCCUCAGGUGUGACCUCCUCAGGUGUGUCUCCCAUCAGGUGUGACCCCCAUCAGGCAUUGCUCCCCUCAGUCGUGACUCCCCUCAGGUGAGACUCCUCUCAGGUGUGAACCCCCUCAGGUGUUGCUCCCCUCAGGUGUUGCUCCCCUCAGGUGUGACUCCUUCAGGUGUAACACCUCAGGAGUGACUCCCCUCAGGUGUGACCUCCUCAGGAGUGACUCCCCUCAGGUGUGAACCCCCUCAGGUGUGACUCCCUCAGGUGUGACUCCCCUCAGGUGUGACUCCCUCAGAUGUGACCCCCUCAGGCAUUGCUCCCCUCAGUCGUGACUCCCCUCAGGUGAGACUCCUCUCAGGUGUGAACCCCCUCAGAUGUUGCUCCCCUCAGGUGUUGCUCCCCUCAGAUGUAUCUCCUUCAGGUGUAACCCCCUCAGGAGUGACUCCCCUCAGGUGUGACUCCCCUCAGGUGUGAUCCCCCUCAGGUGUGACUCCCCUCAGGUGUGACCCCCCUCAGGCAUUGCUCCCCUCAAUCAUGACUCCCCUCAGGUGAGACUCCGCUCAGGUGUGAACCCCAUCAAGUGUGACUCCCUCAGGUGUGACUCCCCUCAGGUGUGACCCCCCCAGGCAUUGCUCCCCUCAGUCGUGACUCCCCUCAGGUGAGACUCCUCUCAGGUGUGAACCCCCUCAGGUGUUGCUCCCCUCAGGUGUUGCUCCCCUCAGGUGUGACUCCUUCAGGUGUAACACCUCAGGAGUGACUCCCCUCAGGUGUGACCUCCUCAGGAGUGACUCCCCUCAGGUGUGAACCCCCUCAGGUGUGACCUCCUCAGGUGUGACUCCCCUCAGGUGUGACUCCCCUCAGGUGUGACCUCCUCAGGUGUGACUCCCCUCAGGUGUGACCUCCUCAGGUGUGACUCCCCUCAGGUGUGAACCCCCUCAGGUGUAACCCACUCAGGAGUGACUCCCCUCAGGUGUGACCUCCUCAGGUGUGACUCCCCUCAGGUGUGAACCCCCUCAGGUGUGACUCCCCUCAGGUGUGACUCCCCUCAGGUGUGACCUCCUCAGGUGUGAGUCCCCUGGGGUGUGCCGGGUGUCAGGGCGGGUCCUGAGCUUGCCGCUUGCUGGGUUUCAAGAUGCCCUCCUUUCUGGUGCUGGUGGAGCCCAGGUCCUGGUGCUGCCCCUGAGCCCUGCUGCAGCCCAGACUUGGUCCACACCCGAGUGCCCUCCUUGCCCCAGGACCCCGUGGUUGUGGGUGGACGGAGCCCGAGCUGCUGCAGGUCAGGCCUGGUUGCCACACCUGAGCACGCGGGAUGGGCCUUUGACGGGGUACAGAGACACCCAGGUGGCCUCUUGGGCACACAGUUGCACCCAGGCUCCCAGCGCCAGCCCUCACACGCAGGAGCAAGCUGGCCCCAGCGCGGGUGUUUACUUAUUGAGCUCCUACUGCGUGCCACGCUCUUCUAGUGCAGGACAUGGAAUGGACCAGACAGAUGGCAGUUGUUCCCUGUGUCCAGGGUCUGUGCUUCGGUGGGGCAGAAGUGGGGUCCCUGGACCUGUGUCAGGAGGUCCCCAUCCUGGAGUACACACAGUGGGCGCUGGGAAGCUGUGGCUGUGAAGGGGCCGUCAGCAGGGCUCCCCUGUGGAGGUGGCACUGCAGCGGGGACGCCGGGAGGUGGCAGGGGAGCCACAGGGAAGCACCUGCCACGCCUCUUGUUGGGAACCCUUGACAUCCAAAGACUUGGAUGUCACUGUCUCAUUCCACAGAGAGGGACUGAGGCACAGAGUGGGUAAGAGGCUGGCUCAGGGUUGCUCAGCAGAUUUGUUCUCACUCCCUGCCCCAAAGCCUGUGCUCCGGGGCCACGCAUGCCACAUUUCUUUCAUCGCCAGCUGGAAUUCCAACCCUGUCCUUCCAACCGGGUGGCCCAGCAGCCUCCUACACUUUGGAAGGGGGCAGGCAUGUUACGACGAGAAUGGCUGCCCAUCUGCAGAGGUGGGGUCAGCCGUGAAGAGAGUGAGAGAGGCACAGAGAGGUUGGGCCACUGUGCAGGGAUGCACAGCGCAUGGAUGGGGGGCUGGAAGGUGGGGGGAGUGGCUUGGUCUUGUGGAUGCGGGGCCUAGGCACCCAGGGAGCCCCCCAGCAGGCCUCUUCCUUCCUCUC